GAGAAAACCCGAAUCGACUAGGUUCGGGUUUGAGUUUUCCUAAGAAUGAAAAUGGGUAUGGUAUGAACAGUUAGCAGAUAUUUUUACAAAAGCAUUAGAUGCAAAUCAAUUUGAGAAGUUAAGGGCAAAUUAGGAAUUUUCCUAUUUGAAGAUCAAUAGCAGUUACUGCAUGAGAAGCGUGCAGCAGUUAUUUUCUCUUCCCUCCCACAUCUUGUGCACACUUACAUAGGGGAAUCAUUACAAAAUUCACUCUAUUUUCAUAACCGCUCCAUCUACACGCUUUCAACUUCUCAACUUCUCUCUCUCUCUCUCCAAGAACCAACUCAACUUCAUCUCUCACAUCCUUCUCUCCUUGUUCAACUUUCAUCAUCAUCAAUCUCAACGACACUAUGUCAAACUCUGCUAAAACUUCUCCAAUUAAGGAUAGCACUGUUCGUUCUGAAAAUUGGGAGUCUCACGUGAUCGACGCAGUUCCUAUUUCAACUGUGCCUCCUACGAGUUCGAUGAAAAAGGAGAAACGAACUUCAAAGAAGGAUAAAACAUCACAAGUAAGUAUUAAUCCUUCAUCUCCCUCUGCAUCAAUUAAGAAAUCGAAGCGGAAGAGCAAGAAAUCAAAAAUCUGAGUCGAGUGGAGGUUUUACCAUGUCUGAACUUCAUGUUGAUCCACUUCAACCGAGUAGUGUUGAUACUCUUGUCGUUGAACCUGUCAUUGAGAAUGUUGAUGCACCUGGU
rnacentral:lncRNA from 1 species